rnacentral:rRNA from 1 species
CCCUCCCUUGUUUGUCCCGGCCUAUAUACCGCCGUCGUCAGCCUACCCUGUGAAGGGCCAGAAGUGAGCAAGAUUGGUAAGACCCAAAACGUCAGGUCGAGGUGUAGUGAAUGAGAGGGGAAGAAAUGGGCUACAUUUCCUAACUCAGGAAAUACGAACAAUGAACUGAAAUAAGCAUUAGAAGGUGGAUUUAGCAGUAAGCAGGGAAGCAGAGUGUCCCGCUGAAGAAUGGCAAUAAAGCACGCACACACCGCCCGUCACUCUCCCCAAGUCAACUCUACAAACAAUGUACCUAAAAAACUAUACCUGCAAAGGGGAGGCAAGUCGUAACAUGGUAAGCGUACCGGAAGGUGCGCUUGGAAUAAU